rnacentral:rRNA from 1 species
UCUGGUAAAGAAACCCCGGCUAACUCCGUGCCAGCAGCCGCGGUAAUACGGAGGGGGUUAGCGUUGUUCGGAAUUACUGGGCGUAAAGCGCACGUAGGCGGAUUAGUAAGUUAGAGGUGAAAUCCCAGGGCUCAACCUGGAACUGCCUUUAAUACUGCUAGUCUUGAGUUCGAGAGAGGUAAGUGGAAUUCCGAGUGUAGAGGUGAAAUUCGUAGAUAUUCGGAGGAACACCAGUGGCGAAGGCGGCUUACUGGCUCGAUACUGACGCUGAGGUGCGAAAGUGUGGGGAGCAAACAGGAUUAGAUACCCUGGUAGUCCACACCGUAAACGAUGAAUGCCAGACGUCAGCAAGUAUACUU